GUAUUAUCAUGAGGAAAGUCCGGGCUUCACAGGGCAGGAUAACGGAUAACGUCCGCCGGAGGCGACUCCCGGGAAAGUGCAACAGAAAGAAACCGCCGCGCAAGCGGUAAGGAUGGAAAGGCGAGGCAAGAGCUCACCGACGUACAGGCAACUGCACGUGCCAUGUAAACCCUAUCCGAAGCAACACCCCGCAGAAAAUUGGUCUGCCCGGCCUGAGCAUACAACAGCUCUAUGCGAGGUGGCAGCAGGAAUUUCUCCUGCGAGCCGUAUGGCAACAUGCGGCAAAGAUAGAUGAUUGUUCUCGACAGAACCCGGCUUACAGGGCGGU
rnacentral:RNase_P_RNA from 1 species